AGAGUUUGAUCCUGGCUCAGGACGAACGCUGGCGGCGUGCCUAAUACAUGCAAGUCGAGCGGACAGAUGGGAGCUUGCUCCCUGAUGUUAGCGGCGGACGGGUGAGUAACACGUGGGUAACCUGCCUGUAAGACUGGGAUAACUCCGGGAAACCGGGGCUAAUACCGGAUGGUUGUUUGAACCGCAUGGUUCAAACAUAAAAGGUGGCUUCGGCUACCACUUACAGAUGGACCCGCGGCGCAUUAGCUAGUUGGUGAGGUAACGGCUCACCAAGGCAACGAUGCGUAGCCGACCUGAGAGGGUGAUCGGCCACACUGGGACUGAGACACGGCCCAGACUCCUACGGGAGGCAGCAGUAGGGAAUCUUCCGCGAUGGACGAAAGUCUGACGGAGCAACGCCGCGUGAGUGAUGAAGGUUUUCGGAUCGUAAAGCUCUGUUGUUAGGGAAGAACAAGUACCGUUCGAAUAGGGCGGUACCUUGACGGUACCUAACCAGAAAGCCACGGCUAACUACGUGCCAGCAGCCGCGGUAAUACGUAGGUGGCAAGCGUUGUCCGGAAUUAUUGGGCGUAAAGGGCUCGCAGGCGGUUUCUUAAGUCUGAUGUGAAAGCCCCCGGCUCAACCGGGGAGGGUCAUUGGAAACUGGGGAACUUGAGUGCAGAAGAGGAGAGUGGAAUUCCACGUGUAGCGGUGAAAUGCGUAGAGAUGUGGAGGAACACCAGUGGCGAAGGCGACUCUCUGGUCUGUAACUGACGCUGAGGAGCGAAAGCGUGGGGAGCGAACAGGAUUAGAUACCCUGGUAGUCCACGCCGUAAACGAUGAGUGCUAAGUGUUAGGGGGUUUCCGCCCCUUAGUGCUGCAGCUAACGCAUUAAGCACUCCGCCUGGGGAGUACGGUCGCAAGACUGAAACUCAAAGGAAUUGACGGGGGCCCGCACAAGCGGUGGAGCUUGUGGUUUAAUUCGAAGCAACGCGAAGAACCUUACCAGAUCUUGACAUCCUCUGACAAUCCUAGAGAUAGGACGUCCCCUUCGGGGGCAGAGUGACAGGUGGUGCAUGGUUGUCGUCAGCUCGUGUCGUGAGAUGUUGGGUUAAGUCCCGCAACGAGCGCAACCCUUGAUCUUAGUUGCCAGCAUUCAGUUGGGCACUCUAAGGUGACUGCCGGUGACAAACCGGAGGAAGGUGGGGAUGACGUCAAAUCAUCAUGCCCCUUAUGACCUGGGCUACACACGUGCUACAAUGGACAGAACAAAGGGCAGCGAAACCGCGAGGUUAAGCCAAUCCCACAAAUCUGUUCUCAGUUCGGAUCGCAGUCUGCAACUCGACUGCGUGAAGCUGGAAUCGCUAGUAAUCGCGGAUCAGCAUGCCGCGGUGAAUACGUUCCCGGGCCUUGUACACACCGCCCGUCACACCACGAGAGUUUGUAACACCCGAAGUCGGUGAGGUAACCUUUUAGGAGCCAGCCGCCGAAGGUGGGACAGAUGAUUGGGGUGAAGUCGAAACAAGGUAGCCGUAUCGGAAGGUGCGGCUG
rnacentral:rRNA from 1 species